AUGCCCCAAAUAGGGAGAUUGAGUUCACUAUAAACCUUGUGCCAGGUACCGCACCUCUAUCAAAAGCUUCACCAGCAUAAAUAAUAGAGUUAGCAACACAAUUAUGGGAAUGAUUCGAAAAAGGAGUCAUUAGGCCAAGUGUAUCCUCGUGGGGAGUUGCAGUGUUGUUUGUUAAGAAAAAAGAUGGAAGUAUGAGGUUGUGUAUUGAAAUUA
rnacentral:lncRNA from 1 species